AACCACUCGAUCAUUCCCUACAAUAGAAACAACUAUCGCUAAGCAUAUUACUUAGUGGUGUAAAAACUAUAGGUUCGGAGCCAUCCGAUUCACCAAGUUAACUUUCUCAAGUCAUGGGCAGCACCAUUGAAACAUAAUAAUUAAAUCAAGUAAACAAUAUAAUAAGAGUAUGAAGUUCGAUAUUUUAAAGAUCCAAAUGUCAAGAA
rnacentral:lncRNA from 1 species